rnacentral:miRNA from 1 species
AAUAAAUUACCUUAUCCUUGGA